rnacentral:pre_miRNA from 1 species
CUUAUACUCCCUUCGUCCAGAAAUACUUGUCGCAUAAAUGGAUAAAAGUGGAUGUAUCUAGAACUAAAAUACGUCUAGAUACAUCCAUUUCUUUGACAAGUAUUUCCGGACGGAGGGAGUAUUUA